AUUACUUAUAUUUUUUUUUUUUUUUUUUUUUUUUUUUUUUUUUUUUUUUUUUUUUUUUUUUUUUUUUAAUGUUUUUUUUUUUUUUUUUUUUUUUCUUAUAUAUAUAUUAUUUUUUUAUAUAGUUAUUAUUUGUUUAUCUAUGUAUAAGUUAUCUAUUUCUGUUAUUUACUUAAAUUUCAUAAUUUAAUAAAGUGUAAAGUUGAGAUAAUAUUAAUAAUCAAACUUAGCUUAACUAAAAUUAAAAUAAAUAUAUCAACAUGCAAAAUAACUGCUAUUUGUAACUAUUUGAUAAAUCAAAAGGAUAUAAGAAUUUAUAUAUUUAUAUAUCUACUUUCUUAUUACUAUAUCAUGAGC
rnacentral:misc_RNA from 1 species